AUUUGAAUAUCAAUUUAUAUAUGUACUUAUCUAUAUGUAUUUUUAAGCAUAUGCCGAAUUUAGUCCAGCGGUUCCAGAAUUUUUUUUUAUUUCGUAAUUAAACUAAAAAAAAAACUAUCCGUCGAUGGAAUAUGGGCCACAAGGUGAGCUCAAAUGUCACGUUUACACCAUUGGCGUUUGGCUUAGUUUGAACAGAAGUUCAAUAUCUUUGUAAUUUCAAUGAGACGUUCGUCGGGACUUCACCAAAUCGCAGAUCUACAUGUGACAAAAAAGGGCACUUAAAAAUAUUUGUGAUUUGUGCUGAUCGCAGCCGCAAGCAAACUGCUCAUCACUAACGAGGAGAGCAUAAAUAAGGGCUGCCCCCCGCCUGACCCCAUCAUGGCGCACUUUUCCAACAACAGAGGAAAAAUGAGAAAAACAGAAAGAUAGAAAAUGUAGAAAAAAUAUUGAGGGGGAAAUAUUCCCGCAAAAAUUACGCGCGAGCCCCGAAACGUGACGUAGUCGUGACGUUAGUGCACGUAAAGAACAGCCGGCAAAACAUAUGUAUGUAGUAGAGCACACUUGGUCGCAAUUAAUGGCGCACUACCAAUGAAUAUAAUUCAAUAAUUGGGCAAAAAACAUUUUAACGCAAAAAUGUUGGGCAUUAUUCCCAAUCGUCACUUGGACAUUUUGGAUAGAAAAUGAUAUUUUUCUCAGCAGAGCUCUCUCAGAGAAUACACUCACUCGCCGACGUGACUGACUCGUUCGAGUGCGUCAAGCCAGCUGGCCUGCUCACACUCACGCAUAGAAGGCCAGAGAGAGCGGAUCUGUCUGUCCCGCUUUCAUUCGUGCCAACGUGUCUGCUGUGUGUGUGAGUGAGAGUGCUCUCUUUUUGAAAAUGCGUCUGUGUGUGUGAGGUGAGUCCAAGCAGCCGCCAUAACAAAAAAAUUGUAAAUAAAUAUGCUGCCCCGUCGAAAGCGCGCGCCAAAAAAAACCGGAUGAAAUAUGCAUCCGGAUGAAGCCCGCGGAGGAGCAAUUAUCCAAACUGGAAGGCAACAGCUAUGUGGCCACUUAUUCCGCAAUAUUUCACAAAUAAAUGUUUGAUUCCGUGCGCUGUUGUUUCGAUGGCCACCGGUUCGGCGGACAAGGACAACACUAGUGGUGCGUCCUGUGGCGGAUGUUUGCGGCCUGUUGUCGCUCUCUCUGCAGACCGCCCGCUCACCGAAAACAUGCUACUCCGCGUGUUGUCUAACACUGCGGCCGGAGAUGCGUAAAGUAGUGACUGGGUUAAUGCCGUUCUUGGCUGAAAUGUGC
rnacentral:lncRNA from 1 species